GACGAACGCUGGCGGCGUGCUUAACACAUGCAAGUCGAACGGAAAGGCCCUGCUUGCAGGGUACUCGAGUGGCGAACGGGUGAGUAACACGUGGGUGAUCUGCCCUGCACUUCGGGAUAAGCCUGGGAAACUGGGUCUAAUACCGGAUAGGAGCCAUUUUUAGUGUGAUGGUUGGAAAGUUUUUUCGGUGUAGGAUGAGCUCGCGGCCUAUCAGCUUGUUGGUGGGGUAAUGGCCUACCAAGGCGGCGACGGGUAGCCGGCCUGAGAGGGUGGACGGCCACAUUGGGACUGAGAUACGGCCCAGACUCCUACGGGAGGCAGCAGUGGGGAAUAUUGCACAAUGGGCGCAAGCCUGAUGCAGCGACGCCGCGUGGGGGAUGACGGCCUUCGGGUUGUAAACUCCUUUCGCUAGGGACGAAGCUUUUUGUGACGGUACCUAGAUGAGAAGCACCGGCUAACUACGUG
rnacentral:rRNA from 1 species